CUGCGUUCAGCCUGCCCUGACAUCUCAACCCAAGGCCACUGAGAAGCUUCCAGCUUUCAAACAAAACAGUUUAAACACCUCCAGAAUCCCAGUACUGGAGUUGACUGAAGAAAGAAAGGGUGCUCUGCAGCGACUUGCCAGUUUGAAGGCUGUGGAAAAGAAACCACAUCCUCCCUCCAGAAUCCCAGUACUGCAGAAAAAGAGGUCCAUCUGCAAUGGGAAGAGUCAAGGACUGCAUGUAGCUCCAACAUCUCAGCAGUCAGGGAAGGCUACUGUUCCUCCCAUCCGGAUGCCACUGCAACACAUCGGUACCAAGACGGAUCAAACCUGCGUGGAGAAAGACAUCUACCUCCAUAGUGCCAUGCCAUUGAAGGCAGUCCAUGGAGCCAAUAUGGUCGCCAAGAUGGCACUUCCUCCCAUUAGAGCCAGAGUCACUGUGCCAAACAAUGAUGCCAAGAAGAAGCCUUUCCAGCCAGUCAGACCAGAGGGCAGCCCUCGUCCUGCUGCUUCAAAGUACAGAAGGCAGGUUGUGAAGAAACACGUUCAGUUCAAGACUCAGACCCUAACUGUACAGGAUCUACCGCCAUGCCCCGAUGAGAUGGUAUGGGACGUCUUUAACUCAGAGGCUGAGCAGGUGAUGGCAUAUAUGAAGGCCAAGCUGAUCAGUGUCACCCAAGAAUUGAAACUGAUUAAAAGUGGGGCCAAGAUGGAUGCUCAGGCUCUGGAGGAGAAAAACGCUAAAGAACGGUUGAGAAAAAAGGUGGAGAAGUUCAUCCAGGAGAUUUGCCUAAUGAAGGUGGAUUCUGACCUAUGGGAGAUGAUAAGAGAUAACGAAGAAGAGGAAGAAAGGAAUAAAGAGGUGAGGAGAAAUGGAGAACAAAGCAGUGUGGCAAGUAAGCCAAAGUAGACAGCCACGAGAUACACUGUGAGCAAACCAAAGGAAGUCAAGAAGGGUUUGAACAUGGAAGAGAAAAAGGAGGACAGACAGGUGGUGUUGAAACGUCGAUUUGGGAUGAGUGCAGCCAACUCCAAGCUGAAGCAGUGUGAGCACUGCGGCCGGUGCUUUGAUCCUAGUCGCCUGGAGAAGCACAGCGAGAUCUGUGCCAAGCUCUCCUCCAAGAGCUCUAGACGGGGGGUCUAUGACUCCACCAAGCACCGGCUCAAAGGCACUGAACUGGCUGGCUACGUGAAGCGAUCCGUGGUCUGAUGCACCAAGGGACCUGAGUCUGUCGCUCUUUUGUAUUUUGGAAUGAACAGACAGACAUACAGUGACUGCUA